CUCAAAGUUAAGAAAAUCAGAUUUCUUUCUCUCUCCCCGUGUUCUCUCACUCACCGCGUCUCUCUCUCCCUUCGCUCCCUUUCUCAGCCGGCAACUUCGCCGGUCCUUGCCGCCUCUGGCCGCGAGGCCGGCUCCUCAUCUUCUCCUUCCUCUCUAUACCUUAUUUCCUUCUCUAAUUCUAAGAUUCCCAAUUUCUAGGGUUUUCUGCCUCCCUUUCCCCUCUGAAAUUCGCCCCUCCGGCGAGUGUUGCCUCUCCGUUGUCUCUGUCACGCCGCCGCCUCUUCUGACUCAGGAAUCGGUGAUUCAAGAUGGUUUGAGAUGGUUUCAUCGGCAGUUCAUCUACAGCCCAAGACUCCCUUUUAAAGACUCAGCCUUUUAUUAUUGAAUUAAUUGUUGUAACUAAAUGUAUGCUGUAAGUGUUAAAGAAAAUUGAUGUUAUCUCUACUAUUCUUGAUUACUAUCUAUGAGUGAAUCAUUGAGUUAUAGGAAGAAUACUACCUGCU